UGCAUAUCAUUAACGGAGGAAAAGAAACUCCCAAGGAUUCCCCUAGUAACUGCGAGUGAAGCGGGAAAAGCUCAAAUUUAAAAUCUGUUGGUCUUUGGCCAUCCGAGUUGUAAUUUAGAGAAGCGUCUUCCGCGCUGGACCGUGCACAAGUCUCCUGGAACGGAGCGUCAUAGAGGGUGAGAAUCCCGUCUUUGGCAUGGACUACCAGGGCUUUUGUGAUGCGCUCUCGAAGAGUCGAGUUGUUUGGGAAUGCAGCUCAAAAUGGGUGGUGAACUCCAUCUAAAGCUAAAUAUUGGCGAGAGACCGAUAGCGAACAAGUACCGUGAGGGAAAGAUGAAAAGCACUUUGGAAAGAGAGUGAAACAGUACGUGAAAUUGUUGAAAGGGAAACGCUUGAAGUCAGUCGCGUCGAUCGAGACUCAGCCUCGCUCCGGCUUGGUGUAUUUCUCGCUCGACGGGUCAGCAUCAAUUUCGUCUCUCGGAUAAUGGCGAGGGAAAGGUGGCACCUUUACGGGUGUGUUAUAGUCUCUUGUCGCAUGCGAGGGCUGAGAUUGAGGAACUCAGCACGCGCCCUUUGGGUGUCGGGGCUUCGGCUCACGCUACGUGCUUAGGAUGCUGGCGUAAUGGCUUUAAACGACCCGUCUGAAAACACGGACCAAA
rnacentral:rRNA from 1 species